rnacentral:misc_RNA from 1 species
GAAGCAAAGAAGAUGACUCAAAUUUUUGUUUCAUUAGGAAAAGACAUGUAUUUCUUGAGAAAUCAUCUACAAGUGAGAAAAUAAUUGUGACCAUGAAUUCCAGUCACAAAAAAUGGUCCUUAAAUGUCAACAUGAACAAGCUCAAAGACUUUAUUUGACUUGGUAUUGCUAAUGGGAAAGGGUAAUUUUUCCGCUUAGCAAAGUGGUUGAUAUCACAGAUUACAUGAGACAAAGAUGUAACAACAGGAUACUUGGACUUUAUUACAUUAAAUCUACUUAUAGAAGGAU